rnacentral:rRNA from 1 species
GACGAACGCUGGCGGCGUGCUUAACACAUGCAAGUCGAACGGAAAGGCCCUGCUUUUGUGGGGUGCUCGAGUGGCGAACGGGUGAGUAACACGUGAGUAACCUGCCCUUGACUUUGGGAUAACUUCAGGAAACUGGGGCUAAUACCGGAUAGGAGCUCCUGCUGCAUGGUGGGGGUUGGAAAGUUUCGGCGGUUGGGGAUGGACUCGCGGCUUACCAGCUUGUUGGUGGGGUAGUGGCUUACCAAGGCUUUGACGGGUAGCCGGCCUGGGAGGGUGACCGGCCCCAUUGGGACUGAGAUACGGCCCAGUCUCCUACGGGAGGCAGCAGUGGGGAAUAUUGCACAAUGGGCCGAAGCCUGAUGCAGCAACGCCGCGUGCGGGAUGACGGCCUUCGGGUUGUAAACCGCUUUCGCCUGUGACGAAGCGUGAGUGACGGUAAUGGGUAAAGAAGCACCGGCUAACUACGUG